GAUGAAGAACGUAGCGAAAUGCGAUAAGUAAUGUGAAUUGCAGAAUUCAGUGAAUCAUCGAAUCUUUGAACGCACAUUGCGCCCGUUAGCAUUCUAGCGGGCAUGCCUGUCCGGGCGUCAUUUCAACCCUCAGGGUCCCCGUUCCGGCGGGGAACCUGGUGUUGGGGAUCGGCCCGCCCCGUGCGGCGCCGUCCCCCAAAUUCAGUGGCGGUCUCGCUGCAGCCUCCCCUGCGUAGUAGUUACAACCUCGCAUCGGAGCUCAGCGCGGCCACGCCGUAAAACCCCCGACUUUCUGAACGUUGACCUCGGAUCAGGUAGGAAUACCCGCUGAACUUAAGCAUAUCAAUAAGCGGAGGA
rnacentral:misc_RNA from 1 species